UACGUAGGUGGCAAGCGUUGUCCGGAUUUAUUGGGCGUAAAGAGCGUGUAGGCGGCUAGGUAGGUCCGUUGUGAAAACUCGAGGCUCAACCUCGAGACGCCGGUGGAAACCAUCUAGCUAGAGUCCGGAAGAGGAGAGUGGAAUUCCUGGUGUAGCGGUGAAAUGCGCAGAUAUCAGGAAGAACACCAGUGGCGAAGGCGGCUCUCUGGGACGUGACUGACGCUGAGACGCGAAAGCGUGGGGAGCGAACAGG
rnacentral:rRNA from 1 species